rnacentral:rRNA from 1 species
UACGUAGGGGGCAAGCGUUGUCCGGAUUUAUUGGGCGUAAAGAGCGUGUAGGCGGCUUUACAGGUCCGUUGUGAAAACUCGAGGCUCAACCUCGAGACGCCGGUGGAAACCGUAAGGCUAGAGUCCGGAAGAGGAGAGUGGAAUUCCUGGUGUAGCGGUGAAAUGCGCAGAUAUCAGGAAGAACACCGGUGGCGAAAGCGCUCUGCUAGGCCGCAACUGACACUGAGGGACGAAAGCUAGGGGAGCGAAUGGG